rnacentral:sRNA from 1 species
GUUUGCACUUGUCGGGGAAGGGUGAGAACCUUCGAUUAAGGUUCGACUUGAGCGAAAGCGAGAGAACGUUGCCAACGGCAACGGCCCGU